rnacentral:rRNA from 1 species
GAUGAACGCUGGCGGCGUGCUUAACACAUGCAAGUCGAACGGAAAGGCCCUGCUCUUGUGGGGUGCUCGAGUGGCGAACGGGGGAGUAACACGUGAGUAACCUGCCCUUGACUUUGGGAUAACUUUAGGAAACUGGGGCUAAUACCGGAUAGGAGCUCCUGCUGCACGGUGGGGGUUGGAAAGUUUCGGCCGUUGGGGCUGGACUCGAUGCUUAUCAGCUUGUUGGUGGGGUAGGUGCUUACCAAGGUUUUGACGGGUAGCCGGCCUGAGAGGGUGACCGGCCACAAUGGGCCUGAGAUACGGACCAGUCUCCUACGUGAGGCAGCAGUCGGAAAUAUUGCGCAGUGGGCGGGAGCCUGUUGCAGCAGCGCCGGGUGCGGAAUGACGGCCUACGGGUUGUAAACCGCUUUCGACUGUGACGAGGCGUGAGUGACGGUAAUGGGUAAAGAAGCACCGGCUAACUACGUG